rnacentral:rRNA from 1 species
GGCGGCGGCGCUUCUCCUCUCGCUCCGGCUGAGGCGGCGGCGCUACUCCCGGUUCACCUUCUUCUUCUCCUACUCCUCCGAGUUCUCCUUCGCGGCUUUCUACUCCGUCGCUAGGUUCAUCCGCCAUUCGUAGUAGAACGUAGGUCCGUCGCCUUGAGACUCCCCACUACCGUAACAGAUCACUAAGAACUAAACAAGACAACAAAACCGACACCUUCAACGAAAAUGGACACAAACCAGUUUAAAUCAACAAAUUAUGAUCAGACCGAUACAAGGUCAUGACUCAAAAUACAUUACACUCCUAAUAUACACAAACACUGACUUAAAAUACGUCGAUAAUUAAAACGUCAUGAGACUUUAUACAUUAAGAGUGGACGCAGAGUAGAAAAAACACUACGCUACGACGAGAUAAAAAAAAAACAGUAUCUACAAAGAUUUUAAAAUGAUCUACUAAUUAUAGACAAUACGGAACACUUACCAA